UACGAAGGGUGCAAACGUUGCUCGGAAUUAUUGGGCGUAAAGCGCACGUAGGCGGCUUUGCAAGUCGGAUGUGAAAUCCCUCGGCUCAACCAAGGAAGUGCAUCCGAAACUGCAGAGCUUGAGUACCAAAGAGGAUCGCGGAAUUCCCGGUGUAGAGGUGAAAUUCGUAGAUAUCGGGAGGAACACCGGUGGCGAAGGCGGCGACCUGGGUAGAUACUGACGCUGAGGUGCGAAAGCGUGGGGAGCAAACAGG
rnacentral:rRNA from 1 species